rnacentral:rRNA from 1 species
GGACGAACGCUGGCGGCGUGCUUAACACAUGCAAGUCGAGGGGGUUCGUGGGGCAAACUCACGGAUCACCGGCGAACGGGUGCGUAACACGUGAGCCGUACCUGCCGUACCUGUGGGGGAUAGCCGGCCCAACGGCCGGGUAAUACCGCAUACGCUUGUCUUGGGGCAUCCUGGGACAAAAGAAAGCUCUGGGGGCAACCCUGGGGCGCAGGACGAGGGGCUCGCGGCCUAUCAGCUAGUUGGCGGGGUAACGGCCCACCAAGGCGGUGACGGGUAGCUGGUCUGAGAGGAUGGCCAGCCACAUUGGGACUGAGAGACGGCCCAGACUCCUACGGGAGGCAGCAGUGGGGAAUCUUGCGCAAUGGCCUAACGGCUGACGCAGCGACGCCGCGUGUGGGA